UACGAAGGGGGCUAGCGUUGCUCGGAAUCACUGGGCGUAAAGCGCACGUAGGCGGCUUCUUAAGUCAGAGGUGAAAUCCUGGAGCUCAACUCCAGAACUGCCUUUGAUACUGAAGAUCUUGAGUUCGGGAGAGGUGAGUGGAACUGCGAGUGUAGAGGUGAAAUUCGUAGAUAUUCGCAAGAACACCAGUGCGAAGGCGGCUCACUGGCCCGGUACUGACGCUGAGGUGCGAAAGCGUGGGAGCAACAGG
rnacentral:rRNA from 1 species